rnacentral:rRNA from 1 species
AUUGAACGCUGGCGGCAUGCCUUACACAUGCAAGUCGAACGGCAGCACGGGGCAACCUGGUGGCGAGUGGCGAACGGGUGAGUAAUGCAUCGGAACGUACCUUUCAGUGGGGGAUAACGUAGCGAAAGUUACGCUAAUACCGCAUAUUCUGUGAGCAGGAAAGCAGGGGAUCGCAAGACCUUGCGCUGAUUGAGCGGCCGAUGUCAGAUUAGCUAGUUGGUGAGGUAAAGGCUCACCAAGGCGACGAUCUGUAGCGGGUCUGAGAGGAUGAUCCGCCGCACUGGAGCUGAGACGCGGUCCAGUCUCCUACGGGAGGCAGCAGUGGGGAAUUUUGGACAAUGGGGGCAGCCCUGAACCAGCCAUGCCGCGUGAGUGAAGAAGGCCUUCGGGUUGUAAAGCUCUUUCGGCCGGGAAGAAAUCGCACGGGCUAAUACCCUGUGUGGAUGACGGUACCGGAAUAAGAAGCACCGGCUAACUACGUGCCAGCCGCCGCCGUAAUAC